rnacentral:rRNA from 1 species
UGACCUGCGGAGGGAUCAUUACACAACAAAAUAUGAAGGCCUGGCUUUCGCGGCCGGCUGAAGUAUUUUUUUCACCCAUGUCUUUUGCGCACUUGUUGUUUCCUGGGCGGGUUCGCCCGCCACCAGGACCAAACCAUAAACCUUUUUUUCUUAUGCAGUUUCCAUCAGCGUCAGUAAAAACAAUGUAAUUAUUACAACUUUCAACAACGGAUCUCUUGGUUCUGGCAUCGAUGAAGAACGCAGCGAAAUGCGAUACGUAGUGUGAAUUGCAGAAUUCAGUGAAUCAUCGAAUCUUUGAACGCACAUUGCGCCCUUUGGUAUUCCAAAGGGCAUGCCUGUUCGAGCGUCAUUUGUACCUUCAAGCUUUGCUUGGUGUUGGGCGUUUUUUUGUCUCCCUCUUUCUGGGAGACUCGCCUUAAAACGAUUGGCAGCCGGCCUACUGGUUUCGGAGCGCAGCACAUUUUUUGCGCUUUGUAUCAGGAGAAAAGGACGGUACUCCAUCAAGACUCUACAUUUUUCACUUUUGACCUCGAAUCAGGUAGGGAUACCCGCUGAACUUAAGCAUAUCAA